GAAAGAUCCAGACUGUGCCACGAUUUACUAUGCAUGCCCAGACACAGGGCUGGCACUGCCAGAUUUAAAAAAAUACCACCAGGCUACAACACUACAAUCUUGGAAUGGCACGAAUCGGAAACGACCAAACAAUGGGUGAUUCUAGAUCAAGGAGGGAACGCACCGAAACUAAAGGCACUGAUAUGGAGAAAACGAGUGACUCGGGGCGGUGGGAGAAGGGACGAGGAUCCCGUGGUACAAACGCUACUCACAUGGGAAACCAUCAGGGAGACACCGCAAAUUUCCCCGACCCCUUGCCCACUACUGCCAAUAG